rnacentral:rRNA from 1 species
AGUGAACGCUGGCGGUAGGCCUAACACAUGCAAGUCGAACGGCAGCACAGUAAGGGCUUGCUCUUACGGGUGGCGAGUGGCGGACGGGUGAGGAAUACAUCGGAAUCUACUUUUUCGUGGGGGAUAACGUAGGGAAACUUACGCUAAUACCGCAUACGACCUACGGGUGAAAGCAGGGGAUCUUCGGACCUUGCGCGAUUGAAUGAGCCGAUGUCGGAUUAGCUAGUUGGCGGGGUAAAGGCCCACCAAGGCGACGAUCCGUAGCUGGUCUGAGAGGAUGAUCAGCCACACUGGAACUGAGACACGGUCCAGACUCCUACGGGAGGCAACAGUGGGGAAUAUUGGACAAUGGGUGCAAGCCUGAUCCAGCCAUACCGCGUGGGUGAAGAAGGCCUUCGGGUUGUAAAGCCCUUUUGUUGGGAAAGAAAAGCAGCAGGUUAAUACCCCGCUGUUCUGACGGUACCCAAAGAAUAAGCACCGGCUAACUUCGUG